GAUGAACGCUGGCGGCGUGCCUAAUACAUGCAAGUCGAGCGAACGGACGAGAAGCUUGCUUUUCUGAUGUUAGCGGCGGACGGGUGAGUAACACGUGGAUAACCUACCUAUAAGACUGGGAUAACUUCGGGAAACCGGAGCUAAUACCGGAUAAUAUUUUGAACCGCAUGGUUCAAAAGUGAAAGACGGUCUUGCUGUCACUUAUAGAUGGAUCCGCGCUGCAUUAGCUAGUUGGUAAGGUAACGGCUUACCAAGGCAACGAUGCAUAGCCGACCUGAGAGGGUGAUCGGCCACACUGGAACUGAGACACAGUCCAGACUCCUACGGGAGGCAGCAGUAGGGAAUCUUCCGCAAAGGGCGAAAGCCUGACGGAGCAACGCCGCGUGAGUGAUGAAGGUCUUCGGAUCGUAAAACUCUGUUAUUAGGGAAGAACAUAUGUGUAAGUAACUGUGAACAUCUUGACGGUACCUAAUCAGAAAGCCACGGCUAACUACGUG
rnacentral:rRNA from 1 species